rnacentral:rRNA from 1 species
UACGUAGGUGGCAAGCGUUAUCCGGAUUUAUUGGGCGUAAAGCGAGCGUAGGCGGUUUGUCGCGUCUGCUGUGAAAGCCCGGGGCUCAACCCCGGGUGUGCAGUGGGUACGGGCAGGCUGGAGUGCAGUAGGGGAGACUGGAAUUCCUGGUGUAGCGGUGAAAUGCGCAGAUAUCAGGAGGAACACCGAUGGCGAAGGCAGGUCUCUGGGCUGUUACUGACGCUGAGGAGCGAAAGCAUGGGGAGCGAACAGG